GACGAACGCUGGCGGCGUGCUUAACACAUGCAAGUCGAACGGAAAGGCCCUGCUUUUGUGGGGUGCUCGAGUGGCGAACGGGUGAGUAACACGUGAGUAACCUGCCCUUGACUUUGGGAUAACUUCAGGAAACUGGGGCUAAUACCGGAUAGGAGCUCCUGCUGCAUGGUGGGGGUUGGAAAGCUUCGGCGGUUGGGGAUGGACUCGCGGCUUAUCAGCUUGUUGGUGGGGUAGUGGCUUACCAGGGCUUUGACGGGUAGCCGGCCUGAGAGGGUGACCGGCCACAUUGGGACUGAGAUACGGCCCAGACUCCUACGGGAGGCAGCAGUGGGGAAUAUUGCACAAUGGGCGGAAGCCUGAUGCAGCAACGCCGCGUGCGGGAUGACGGCCUUCGGGUUGUAAACCGCUUUCGCCUGUGACGAAGCGUGAGUGACGGUAAUGGGUAAAGAAGCACCGGCUAACUACGUG
rnacentral:rRNA from 1 species